rnacentral:tRNA from 2 species
GCCUGGUUGGCUCAGUUGGUAGAGCAUGUGACUGCUGAUCUCAGGGCUGUGAGUUCAAGCCCCACACUAGGCA